rnacentral:rRNA from 1 species
UACAGAGGGUGCGAGCGUUGUUCGGAAUUAUUGGGCGUAAAGCGCUGGUAGGUGGCCGCAUAAGUCGCGUGUGAAAGCUCCAGGCUCAACCUGGAAAGUGCGCGCGAAACUGUGAGGCUUGAGUGCCGGAGAGGGCCGCGGAAUUCCCGGUGUAGAGGUGAAAUUCGUAGAUAUCGGGAGGAACACCAGAGGCGAAGGCGGCGGCCUGGAAGGUAACUGACACUGAGCAGCGAAAGCGUGGGGAGCAAACAGG